UGUGUAGGUGGCUUUUAAGUUGGAAGUGAAAGCCCGGGGCUUAACUCCGGAACUGCUUUCAAAACUGGAUGGCUUGAGUGUGGGAGAGGUAAGUGGAACUCCUAGUGUAGCGGUGGAAUGCGUAGAUAUUAGGAAGAACAUCAGAGGCGAAGGCGACUUACUGGAACAUUACUGACACUGAAACACGAAAGCGUGGGGAGCAAACAG
rnacentral:rRNA from 1 species